rnacentral:lncRNA from 1 species
AUUCAAUGUCUCAUCUUUCGCUCACUUUUUUCUCUGUAUAUGUGGCUUCUCCUCCACCGCAUCCCCACCUUCUCUUGACCUCAGAUCGCGUUUUUCAAUUCAUCUUUCUUUUUGUAAACCAGAUCACUGUCAGAGAGAAUAAGCAGAGAGUUGUGAAGAGAAUGAUGAUAGUGCUGCCGAUCGCUUCUGAAUCUGUGAUUUUCAUUCUAGAAAAAUAUUAGAGAUUGGAGGGUGUAUAUGACAGC